CUCUCAUCAUUGAUGUUUCUGUCUCUCUCUCCCUCUCCCUUCCUGUCUGAAAUCAAUAAAAUUAAUUUAAAAGAAAAAAAAGAUGUAAAGAGGUGAGGGGUGAAUCACACAGAUCUCUGGAGUAAGAGGGUUUCAGCCAGAGAGAAUAGCAAGUGCAAAAGGCCCUGAGGAAGGAGCAUUUUGUGCAAAGGGAUGACAUGAUCUGACUGAAAUGUUAGCACAAUCACCUGAGUGUGCUGCUAUGUGGAGAAUAAACAAAGGAAAACAAGAACUUAAAUAGGAAGACAAACUGGGAGGCUCUUGUAAUAAUCCUGAUGAAUCUCAGAGGGAGGAUGGGGUUGGGAGGUUCGGAGGGAGAGAGAUUAACCUAGGAACCUAUAUGCAUAUAUGCAUAGCCCGUGGACACAGAAAAUAGUGUGGUAAAGGCCUGGGGUGGGAUGGAAGGAGUCAAUGGGAAAAAAAGGGGGAACAUCUAUAAUACUUUCAACGAUAAAGAUUUUUUAAAAAAGUGUGGUAUUGGCCAAGGUUAACCAAUACAUCAGUGGAACAAGUAGAGUCUAGAAACAGAUCCACACAAAAUGCACUCAAUUGAUUUUGAGAAAGACAGCAGGCACUUCAAUGGGUAGGGGAAGUUAUAGCAAUAAUUUGUGCUAGAAUAACAAGUUUCUCAUGUAGAAAAAAAUGAGCCUCGGCCCCAUCUCAUACACAAAAAGUAGUUCAGUAUAUAUCACAAACCUCAACACGCAAGCCGAAACUCUAAAGCUUCUGGAAGAGAACAUGGGAGACUAUCUUCAUAAGCUUAGAGUAGGCAAAGAUUGUUUUAAAAAUACAGGGCACAGAAAGCAAUAACCAUAAAAAAAUGGACAUGCCCUCACCGGGUGGCUGGGUUGGUUGGAGUGUUGUCCAAUACACCAAAAGGUUGCCGGUUCAAUUCCUAGGUUAUGUCAGGGCACAUGCAGGAGGCAACCCAUUGAUGUUUCUCUCUCCCUUCCUCUCUCAAAAAAAAAAAAAAAAUUACAUCCUUGGGUGAGGAUUAAAAGAAAAAAAAUGUAUAACUUUCCCUUUCCUUCUAGGAGGGUCCGAGAAUCUCCUUCCACAGCAGCCAUACCCCCCUGCACCUCAAGGUGCCAACACUCCCCACAUGCUCCACACAGAGCCCCCAGCCCUCCACUCCAUGGCCACCAAGUCUCCAUGUCUCCCCAGAGCACAAGCCUCCAGGGAUCAUUCCAGGACCCCUGCCACAAUUCACUCAACAAUUCCCUUUAAAGCAACUUAAAUCUUAUCCCGCCUUCUUUACCUUUGUCCUGAACAAUCACUGCUGUGAAAUCGCUAGUUUGACAGGUAUGUCAUUAUUCUUCAUUACAUAUUAAAAUAAAUCCCUAACCAUUAAAAAUAUUCUAAAAUAUGUGAACCACCUAAAAUUAUUUCACAUACUGUUCGUUUUACAUGUUCUUGGGAAUAUGUGUAUGAAUGUGUGUGAGCAUGUGUGUGUCUAAUGGGAUGUGUGUGUAGUUAUACAUGUGUAUGCAUAUGGGUGGAUGUGAGCAUGGGCAUGUGAAUGAAUAUGCACGUGAGUGUAUAUGUAAAUGUUGCUGCCUGGUAGGUGAGUAUAGAUGUGUGUGUGUGUGUGUGUGUGUGUGUGUGUGUGUGUGUGUGUGUGAAUGAGUGUAAGUGCAUAUGUCCUGAGUAUGUCUGAGUGCACAGUGUGCAUGAGUGUCUGGUGGGAUGGGGUGGAGGAAGAUGAGAGGAUGAAGGGUCCUAGUGGGGGGUGACCACGUUCCCCUGCCCCCCAGCAAUGAGCCCUACUCACCAGGAACAGACAGGGCAGAGAAAAGGCAUGUGGGCCAGCAGCCCCUCCAGUAUGUCCCUGUUUGUUUAUCCACAGGCCCUUCAGGGGGAGGGGAGUGUCUCCUUGACCACAGGAGCACCUGGUUACAGCCGGCAUCCUGGUAACCAUCGCCAGGGACUGGGAGUGCUUCUGGGAACAGCAGCAGCCAGCAGGCGGGGGCAGAUCCUCUCUGCUAUAUUUACAGAAGCCAAGAAUGAAAAGGCUUUAGGUUAGAAUGCCUCCAUGCAGUAUCUACAUCUGAAAGGCAGCCAUUCAGCCGGAAGAAAUGACUGGCAGGACAGCCCCAGGCCGGCCAGACCUCCCACAGGCUUUUCUUGUUUGGUGAAGCCAGUAUGAAUGGUUUCUUUACAGGAGCAGCUGCCUGGGUUCCAAGGAAUCGAACCUGAGACCCUUCAGUCUGUGGGCCCAUGCUCUUACCACUGAG